rnacentral:misc_RNA from 1 species
AAAUACUGAAAGACCUCCCCUCCGGGGGAGUGAUUUUCAAACCCUUGUGAACAAAACUCUGUUGCUUCGGGGGCGACCCCGCCGUCUCGGCGGUGGUGCUCCCGGUGGCCAUCCAUCAAACUCUGCAUUACCUUGCGUCGGAGUCUUAUAAAGAAUUAAACA